CAUGGUGUAAUGGUGUGCACUCUAGACUGGGGAUCUGGCGAUCAGAGUUCAAAUCUUAGUG
rnacentral:tRNA from 1 species